rnacentral:lncRNA from 1 species
CCACAAAAGACCAAAAUGACACAAACAUUAACAACUAUAUAUCACCGUACGGCCUUCAACAAUGAGCAAAGCCCAUACCGCAUAGUCAGCUAUAAAAUGCCCCGAUAAGACAAUGUAAAUCAAUUCAAACGAGAAAACUAACGGCCUUAUUUAAGUAAAAAAAUGAACAAAAAACAAAUAUGUAGCACAUAAACAAAUGACAACCACUGAAUUACAGGCUCCUGACUUGGGACAGGCACAUACAUAAAUAAUGUGGCGGGGUUAAACAUGUUAGCGGGAUUCCAACCCUUCCCUAACCUGGGACAGUGGUAUAACAGUACAACAUAAGAACGAACUAUAAAAAUCAGUUGAAAAAGGCUUAACUAAU